rnacentral:rRNA from 1 species
GAUGAACGCUGGCGGCGUGCCUAAUACAUGCAAGUCGAGCGAACAGACGAUGAGCUUGCUCUUCUGACGUUAGCGGCGGACGGGUGAGUAACACGUGGAUAACCUACCUAUAAGACUGGGAUAACUUCGGGAAACCGGAGCUAAUACCGGAUAAUAUAUUGAACCGCAUGGUUCAAUAGUUAAAGACGGUUUUGCUGUCACUUAUAGAUGGAUCCGCGCCGCAUUAGCUAGUUGGUAAGGUAACGGCUUACCAAGGCGACGAUGCGUAGCCGACCUGAGAGGGUGAUCGGCCACACUGGAACUGAGACACGGUCCAGACUCCUACGGGAGGCAGCAGUAGGGAAUCUUCCGCAAUGGGCGAAAGCCUGACGGAGCAACGCCGCGUGAGUGAUGAAGGUCUUCGGAUCGUAAAACUCUGUUAUUAGGGAAGAACAAAUGUGUAAGUAACUAUGCACGUCUUGACGGUACCUAAUCAGAAAGCCACGGCUAACUACGUG